UGACUUUUCUUAUCAUUUCACCUUCUUUAUAAUGCUAUUGACAAUGUCAUCAUCCUUCGGAACAUAUGCUGUUUUUAUUUUGGGUUUAAGUUGACUCUUCUCAUUAAUUGAUAUAUUAUUGACUCCCUGAAUCUGUUUUUCCCUAUUCUAAGUUUUUCGUAUCUGGAAAUCUUACGAAUAAGUCAAAUAAGUGUCCAUCUUUUGUUGUUUGAACUUGUUCAACUGGCGGCAUUAUUUUACUCAUAAUUUGCUUCUUUUCAUCUGCUGCUGUGCUCUCCUCGUCUGUAGAUUUGAUCAAAAGCAUUUUUUUUUUGUCUUGAGUAACCCUGCAUAAGUUUUGUCCAUAAUUGUCAUAAUCUUUACAUCUUUAUCAACAUUGUCAAUUUUGCACUGAAUUUCAUCUAUAUGUUGGUCAUGGCGUUAGUAGUUUUUCGGGCCGAAUCCUGAACCAGCUCUGCUAUUAUUCCUCAGGUGAGCAUGUUGGCUCUCUGGAGGUGCAGAUGGGUCUAAGGCAGUUUGCCUUGUUUGUUGUUUUUGAUUAAGCUGACCUUGUGUCAGCACGGGCUCUUGCUCACAGAGCAGCCCGUAAUCAGCAGUUUGUCCUGUGUCGAGCCCUUUUAUGACCUCUAGGUUAGUUCCAGGGCGUCCCGCUAGAUGGUGAGCAUGGUGACCCAUGAACCUCAUGGCAAACAUGUGUUUGGUUCAAAAUGGCAGCAGUCACGCCUGGUGUCUCUUGGUUGACUCAUGGGUUUACCUGAAAGAAGCGAGGCGGGCGGCAGCAGUCUGGAGGACAGAGAGUCAAAGAUAUCUCACAGGGAGACCAUCAACAGCUUGGAGAAAUGCCAGUACCCAAAAAUGACAGACAAAGGACAAAGAUAAGGAGGGUGGUAAAAGACGGUGACAGCCACUGCCGCAGAGCAUUUUCUAACUGAGCUCAGGUCACUGUCAAGACCAGGACUCUGUGUCCGGUGCCUUCCCACCACAAUCUGCAUUCUUGUGUAGGGUUGAAGCAUAUUUCCCCAAAGUCCAUUACAUCUGUCUGGCGCUACUUCAAGUCUCCGAUCAUCUAAGGACAAAGAAUAGGAGACCAUGGAGGUUGUGUACACCGUAUGUGUUCCCAUAGUGCCAAGGUGUUUCUACUGUCUUCAGUUAUCAAGUCCAAGGGUGAAAGAUUAAAGAGCUGUUAUUUCAUAUUUUAUGAUGAAAUAAUCCUUUAAUUUAGUCAAUUCUCCUCCACAGAGGGCUAAAUAUUCUUUGGUUUUGCAUAGUGGCACUAUUUGAUUUGUGAGCCAACGUAACCUUAGUUCCAUGGAUCUAGUAAUUUCAG